GCAGAUAUAAGUUAGCUGGUAAACUCUUUGAUUUCCAAUCAAAUGUUGUUCGUUCGAGUCGGACUAUCUGUA
rnacentral:tRNA from 1 species